GGGAGGAUGGCUGAGUGGUUUAAAGCGAUGCUUUGCUAAGGCGUUUGUCUAUAUGGCAACGUGGGUUCGAAUCCCACUCCUUCUG
rnacentral:tRNA from 1 species